UACGUAGGGGGCAAGCGUUUGUCCGGAAUCAUUGGGCGUAAAGAGCGUGUAGGCGGCCCGAUAAGUCCGCUGUGAAAGUCCAGGGCUCAACCCUGGAAUGCCGGUGGAUACUGCAGGGCUAGAGUCCGGAAGAGGCGGAGUGGAAUUCCUGGUGUAGCGGUGAAAUGACGCAGAUAUCAGGAGGAACACCGAUGGCGAAGGCAGCUCGCUGGGACGGUACUGACGCUGAGGCGCGAAAGCGUGGGGAGCAACAGG
rnacentral:rRNA from 1 species